GGGGUGAAAGGCCAAUCAAACUGAGAGAUAGCUCGUUCUCCCCGAAAUGUUUUUAGGAACAGCCUCGGAUAUAGAAGUUUACUAGAGGUAGAGCUACUGAUUGGGCUAGGGGGCUUCACCGCCUACCAAACCCUGACAAACUCCGAAUGCUAGUAAAUAUCUCCGGGAGUGAGGCUGCGGGUGCUAAGAUCCGUGGCCGAGAGGGAAAUAACCCAGAUUAGCAGCUAAGGUCCCUAAGCGUAUGUUAAGUUGAUCAAACGAGGUGGAGUUUCUAUAACAGCCAGGAUGUUGGCUUGGAAGCAGCCAUUCAUUUAAAGAGUGCGUAACAGCUCACUGGUCGAGAGACUCUGCACGGAAAAUAAUCGGGCAUCAAACAUACCACCGAAGCUCUAAGAUUGCCAUUAAGUUGGUAUAUCGGUAGGGGAGCAUUCUGAACUGCAUCGAAGGUGACAGGCGACUGUUGCUGGAGCGUUCAGAAACGAAAAUGUAGGCAUAAGUAGCGAUAAAAGUAGUGAAAAACUACUUCACCGUAAGACUAAGGGUUCCUGAUCAACGUUAAUCGGAUCAGGGUUAGUCGGGUCCUUAGGCAAACCCGAAAGGGGCAGCUGAUGGAAAACUGGUUAAUAUUCCAGUACCCGCUUUAGUUUCGAUGGGGUGACGAGGUAGUGAACGACCCGCGGGGCAACGGAAGUUCCCGUUAAAGGGUGUAGUUAUUUUCUUUGCAGGUAAAUCCGCAGAGAAAGGCGAACCUGAUAGUACUGCAAAGCUUCGGCAGCGCAGAUAGUGGUCCUAAUCAUACCUCCGAGAAAACCCUCUAAGGUUAGGCUAAAGCGGCCCGUACCGCAAACCGACACAGGUAGUCGAGGAGAAUAUCCUAAGGUGCUCGGGUGAGCCGUGGAGAAGGAACUAGGCAAAUUGUGGCUGUAACUUCGGGAUAAAGCCAACCGCAGUGAUGCGGUCUCAGUAAAAUGGUUCAACCAACUGUUUAACAAAAACACAGGGCCCUGCAAAAUCGUAAGAUGACGUAUAGAGCCUGAUACCUGCCCGGUGCUGGAAGGUUAAGGAAGGAUGUUCGGCGCAAGCCAAAGCUUCUGACUGAAGCCCCAGUAAACGGCGGCCGUAACUAUAACGGUCCUAAGGUAGCGAAAUUCCUUGUCGGGUAAGUUCCGACCUGCACGAAUGGUCUAAUGAGUUGAACACUGUCUCCUCCACGAGCCCGGCGAAAUUGUAGUAUCGGUGAAGAUGCCGGUUACCCGUCACGGGACGGAAAGACCCCGUGAACCUUCACUACAACUUUGCAUUGAUUUUGAGCAAACGAUGUGUAGCAUAGUUGGGACGCUACGAAGCGGUGCCGCCAGGUGCCGUGGAGCGGUCGUUGAAAUACCAACCUUCGUUUGCUUAGAGUCUAAUCCGCGUAAUCGGAAACAGUGCAUGGUGGGUAGUUUGACUGGGGUGGUCGCCUCCUAAAAAGUAACGGAGGCUUGCAAAGGUUCCCUCAGUACGGUUGGUAAUCGUACGAAGAGCGCAUUAGUAUAAGGGAGCUUGACUGUGAGACAGACAAGUCGAGCAGGGUCGAAAGACGGCUAAAGUGAUCCGGUGGUUCUGCAUGGAAGGGCCAUCGCUCAAAGGAUAAAAGGUACUCCGGGGAUA
rnacentral:rRNA from 1 species